rnacentral:lncRNA from 1 species
GGGAGAUCAACACACUACUUCGUCCUGUGGUUGCACCUGGUAGGGAUCAGGGACCACCUGCUCACCUGCUUUUACAAGGGCAGGCUGGGCAGGUCAGCUCCCCUCCCGUCCUGCUGCGACCCCAGGAUGCAAGGGUGGAGGCUGUCUUUGGCAUUUUACUAGAGCAGGAGGAGUCUUGCCAAAACAGGCAUCUUGCUGCUGGGGACCCUUCUCCUGGUCCUUUGGCCACGGGCAUAGGCUUUCCUGGCAGAGUUUGUGUCUGUGCCCAUUAGGGUUUCUGGCUUCGAGGCCUCUGCAGCUCUCAGUAUGGGAUGUACCAAGGCAAUAGGGAACAUGGACUCAGGGCACAUCAUUCCUCAAGCUCUGAGGCCUGUAGGCUGCUUGUCUCCUUCUUUCUACUCUCAGGGGGGUUCCUGCAUCUGUUGCUUGUGUUGAAAUCAUCGCAACCAUGUGAAUGAGAAGUUAGGGAGCCGACUGGGGACCACAGGACUGCCAGGGAAGCUGGGGCAGUGGAGCACAGGGACCAAGAGUUAACAACAGCCCAAGCUUUGUGGUGACCUUUUGUCUGCCCAAGGCAUACAACAAAGAAAACACCAAUGGAUAGAUGCAAGUGAUAAAAGGUCAACGAGGCUAGGAAUUUUUGAGAAUAGCCAUAUCUGGGUUUUCAAAGGACAAAUUUUCCAAUUGCUAGAAUGAUGUGUGCCAGUUUUGCUUAGAAAAGGAUAUUAUUUUAAGUAUGAUCUCCACUGAUUUUUCUAUAAUCGAGCUAUCUAGAGCACACAAGCUCUGUUGGAACACACAUUUGGAGAAAGUUACUGUGAAACAUGGAAAAGGACAAGAUGCUUCAGAGAUCUGGACACUGAGGCAGAGCGAGCUUGAUGAAGGCAGCAGCCACGGCUGCCUCUAUCCCUGUUGGACCCAGAGUCAGCAUGAGGCCCAGCCCAUGUGAAGUGGUUGGUGGUCCCAUUGUGACACAAUUCAGAUGUGUGGAGGCACAGAGGAGACUGAUUCUGUGUGUCUGCUUUUUCUCCUACAAGGACCUUGGUUCCAGGACUGCUGUGUGACUCUCCCGUGUCUCCCAUUAUGUCUUCAUAUAAUAAGUUGUGACCAUGUGGACUUAGAACCCCACCUUAGCCGUGCGCAGAAGACGUGGGGGAUGGAGACGUGUCGGGCAAUGGCACCAACCUGGGUCCUGACGGGAUGAAAACUUUUUCUCUCCUGUGAAACGGAGAAAUUCAAUUAUUGGCAUGAAUAAAAGGAUAAGAUUUC